GCCAAAACAUUUCCAGAACUACGGUGACCCCGAGUCAGAAAAGCUCCUUGAGCCUCAGAUAAACCUUCCGUCGAACUAUGACUCCCUUGACUUACCUGAGCAAGAUUCAGUUCGGGAAACCAUUCGAAAACGCCUGGUUCAUUUCCUUUACGCCGCUUUUACCAAGCGUUUGAAUGAAGAGCAUUACGAUGCAAUCUUUAACCAGUCUGUCAUAUUGCAUCAACGCCUCUUCGAGAGUGCGGGUACUCCCUGGGAAGGAGACUCAACCACUUUGCGGGCUGACAUGAUUCGUGCCAUACAGAGCUGGCCGACUUUAAUCACAGAAGACUCCCUAGAGCAGGAUAAAGGGUUAUACACUGCGCCUCCUUUCGAGUAUCCAGAUACAGUUAUUCAUGACACUAUCCGGAUAGAUGCGCAACAGAGAGAAGCUGAUACUGCGAUGGAACAAAUGCGAAAUGUUCUUGGUGUGGAUAUAUUGGGCUGGGUACCCAAUGACGGCUAUAAAGCUGCGAGGGAAAUGGCUCGGGAGAUGAAGGCCGAAAUGCUUGAAGCGGCCGAAACACGUGGCGAUGUUUCUGGGGUCCAAAACCACUUUCCGUUUGAUGACUUCAACGAGAACUCCUGAAAUAGGCCGUAUGCAACAUACAUCAAAUGUACAUGUACGUUCACGCAAGGCUGUUGAUGGUAGAGUGGUUGGCUAUAUCAAUAUGCCUGGACUGUCUUGUCGUCUACGCCUCUAUCCACCCCGAAGCCUCAUGAUUCCUGAAACACCCGUCAUUCUGCGUAUGAAUAACAAUGCGUCCAGACGGGUAAUUCCUCGGACGCUUCCUGGCCCGUCGCAGUAGUUCUUGAAAGUGAUCGGUAAGCACGAUCAUCCAGCAGCAAGCAGCGGUAAGGUAAAUUCGCACGAACUGGAUCGUUGGGUGACGCCAUGAGACUGCCAAGCACCUCCAAAUGGUGGUAUUGCUGGUAAUAUUGUGGAGGAAUGACUUUCGUCUCAUUGCGGAUAGACAAGCUUGACAAGGUCAGCGUGCUGGACUACAAUGUAGGUGGGAAGCAAAGUACAUUGUUGGCCAAUGUUCUCGUAGUGAUGUCAAAUUCCGCCGCUAAAACUCCGACUAAAUUCUUUCUUAACCUGUUCCCUUGAAGGCUCCACUUCUGAGAACAACUGGGUUCAGCGGUAACUAGAAAAUGAACAGGGCGCAUCCCGUAUUGUUCUUUCAUUUCAACUACGUCAAGGCAUCCAGAUGAUCUAGUCCCAAAGUAUAAACCAACAUUUUCAAACAGAAUACCUAACCUAAAAGAAAUGGAUAACCAGGGACGCUGUUGAAAAGCGAUACUAUUACGCGUUCGUCAGAAAUAACAGGCCUCGUGGAAAGGCAUUUGUCAUGUUGAACGAUAGAGUGGCUAGGUACAUUGGAGACCAUUUUCAGCGUUGAUUUCACAGUGUAAUUGAAUGGGCAAUUCUGUGUCGCGACUGGGUUCGUCCAGCUGCACCUGACCAGCUCGGCUGCCCGCUCGGCAACAACUCUCGGGCCAUCGUCAGUGACGCAACUUAGAAGUCCACUGACAGCCAUUGGAUAUAGACAUCACUCGGUCAAACCAUCUUCUGCAGGCUGCUUCACCAGAGAGUCCGGGUUUUACACCUGGAAGCCACUGCGCUCUUGUUCCAUGGCAACUUAGGAUACAAAUCGUUGGGAAUUAUACUCUAUCAAGUGUAUCCUUCAAAAAGUACAGGCUUCAACUUUUGAAUGAGAACGAAAAGAGCGAACUUCAAAAACAUAAAACCGAUGACAGGCAGGCACCAUGGCGCCAGGGCUACUCUACGUUACAAUACAGCCGAGAGACAACCUCUCCGCCGCUCAAUUCCACGACUGGUACAACAAUGAGCACGGCCCAAGCCGCCUUCGUCUCCCCUUCAUCAAGAAUGGUUUCCGCUUUCGCGCCACUGACAUCUCAAAUAAACAUGGUCUGCCCACCUUGAGCUGCCCAGUGUCAUCCCCGGAAUGGCUUGCCAUUUACGAUGUCACCGACAUGGCCGAGCUGAAACGGGAACCGUACCUGCGCCUUCGCCGUGACGACGUCAAGAGCCAGCGCGAAAAGGAGACGAUGGCGAAGAUCACGAUUGACAGACGGCUGUACGACUUUGUCGAGAGCAAGGAGGUGGAGGGCUACGUGCCGCUAGACGCAUUGGUGGAAGCGGAGGUGGAGGUGAAGACCAAGAGAGUCCUUGUGGCAAUUAUCCAAACCCUGCAGCCAGAUAAGGAGAUGGAGUUCAACAAAUGGUAUCACGAAAAGCAACUUCCUCUCCUUUCCCAGGCACCCGGGUGGCUGCGGACGCGACGAUUCGUGAGCUCCGCCGUCGAGCCUACUGCGACGACCAGGGAAUAUCUAUCAUUGCAUGAAUACAUGUCCCACAACGGACCUAACGGGUCAGAGUUGAAAGCCCUAAAUGCCACCCCAUGGUGCGAACAGGUUAUGGCAGACAUGGUCAAAGAUUGCUCUGGGCACGCCUAUGAGCACUACUACACCUUCGGCCCCGCACCUCGCGAUCUAGCCUCUCUCGCCUCAGAAACUGAAGUGGGAGCAACGUCCCCCUUCACUUCCCCAGAUGGCCUUACGAAAACCCUCCCCAUAUCAUCACUGUCAUGUCCUCCUUCUUCCUCCCCCACCCCCUCCCCGCCAUCGAAUCCUACAUCACCCUUCCCGACGGUGUCACCCUCCCCUACCGCCUAGAGGGCUCCACAAACCCGCACGCCCCCCUCCUCCUCCUCAGCAACAGCAUCCUUACCCACCACCGAAUCUGGGACGAUUUCAUCACCUCCUUCUUCGGUCCCUCCCAUUCGAACACCCAAUACAGAAUCCUCCGCUACCUCGCCCGCGGCCGCUCGCGCCACUGCGGCCAGCAACGCAUCACUCUCGACGUGCUGGCCGCAGACAUCAUAGCCAUCCUCGACGCCCUGCGCGUGCAGCGGGCCGCGGCCCUCAUAGGCGUCAGCCUCGGCGGCGCAACGGUGCUGAACACCGCGCUACAAUACCCGGUGCGCACGGCGGCGUUUGUCGCCUGUGACACGAAUGCGAGGAGCCCGGAUGGGAAUCGGCAGGCGUGGGGGGAGAGGAUUGCGAUUGCGGAGGGGGAAGGGGCGGUGUCGGCGGAGAGCGGGGA
rnacentral:sRNA from 1 species